rnacentral:rRNA from 1 species
AGUGAACGCUGGCGGUAGGCCUAACACAUGCAAGUCGAACGGCAGCACAGUAAGAGCUUGCUCUUACGGGUGGCGAGUGGCGGACGGGUGAGGGAUACAUCGGAAUCUGCUUUUUCGUGGGGGAUAACGUAGGGAAACUUACGCUAAUACCGCAUACGACCUACGGGUGAAAGCAGGGGAUCUUCGGACCUUGCGCGAUUGAAUGAGCCGAUGUCGGAUUAGCUAGUUGGCGGGGUAAAGGCCCACCAAGGCGACGAUCCGUAGCUGGUCUGAGAGGAUGAUCAGCCACACUGGAACUGAGACACGGUCCAGACUCCUACGGGAGGCAGCAGUGGGGAAUAUUGGACAAUGGGCGCAAGCCUGAUCCAGCCAUACCGCGUGGGUGAAGAAGGCCUUCGGGUUGUAAAGCCCUUUUGUUGGGAAAGAAAAGCAGCAGGUUAAUACCCCGCUGUUCUGACGGUACCCAAAGAAUAAGCACCGGCUAACUUCGUG